UGCAUUUAAAUGAUACAGGGUGCUGAAAUGACCUGUAGCUUGCUUGCAAAUGUUAGCUUGCUAGCUUUUCAUUAAUUCCAGAACCUGCUGUUAACGUCAGACAAAACAAUUUCAGUACCGUUGUGCUUGUCAGUUUUGCUAAGCUUUUUCUGAUUUGUACAUGUCUCUACCCUGAGUAGUAUUUUUGAAAACUGCAGCAAACACACAUGGAUUUUCGUCUGUCUUCCCACUGCGGGUUAAUAGGUGAAAACCCAGGAAGCUGCAUGCACUGAUGGAUGGUCAGUCUUGAAUCUUAUCGAGUACAUUUUUUCCCUACACAAACUCUAAAUUUUCUUUUUAAUUUUCAUUAAAAAUAUUGAUGUGAUCAUUAAUAAUAAUGUGCAUAUUUCAUUAAAAAAAUUAUGUCUUGUGUUUAUUAUAAAAUAUUGUGAACAUUUCACUAAAAAGUCAACCUCGUUUAUUAUAAGAGAAUUGGUUCAAUUAUGCAUUAUUUGAAUCUGAACAGCAGUGAGGUGACAUUUUGUCAGGGGGGACAAACAGUGACCACAUUAAGAGGUAGGCCUAAGCAUUACUAAUUGAAACAUUUCUUUCAUGGCCUAAUGGUUAGAGAGUCUGACUCGUAACCCGAAGGUUGUGGGUUAGAGUCUCGGGUCAGCCACGAUUGAAGUGCCCUUGAGCAAGGCACCGAACCCCCUAACAGCGCCGCAGCAUAAAUGGCUGCCCACUGCUCCGGGUGUCUGUUCACGGUGUGUGUGUUCACUGCUGUGUGUGUGCACUUUGGAUGUGUUAAAUGCAGAGAACAAAUUCUGAGUAUGGGUCACCGCACUUAGCUGUAUGUCACUUCACAUUUUUUUUUUCUUAUUAUGUAUUAAACUAGCUCUAUUCAGAUGCACGCUUAGUGUUCACUCUGUGGAGUUGAAUCAAGUGUUUUAAAAUAAAGGUAUCCAAUUAUGUGAUGUGUUUUGCUGUGAAAGUAGGAACGAUAGUCUGAUCUUGAGCUGGUAUCAACCAACAUUGCUCACAUAUGUGCCAUAGCUAGAAUGGACAUUUGAUCGCUAACAUCAUCAGCCAAAAGUGUGUUCCAGAAGUUGUGCAUGUGGUUAUAUUUUUAAGAGAAUUUAUAUGCUCAUGUAUUCACUUCGAAUUGUAAAAUGGGUUAGAUUUUUGAAACCUUUAACCCUUUCAUGUAAUAUAUGCAAUGUUUCCUUCAUACUCGACAUGAGGUGGUUGAAUUGUGACACAUCUAUAGUUACCAAGUUUUGGUAAAAAUGCACUACACUGACUGACUAAUUGUUCUACAGCUUAGUCCAGAGUGUGACUAAUCCCACAAAAAAGAUUGACAUGGAUAAAUUCAAGAAGUGUUUUACUGUAGUACUGAAGUGUAAAAGUGCUAUACAUUUUAUAUACAUAUAUUGUUUUACAAAUGGUGUUUGCAAUUUUGUUAUCAGUGGAACAUGGAAUAAAAGCAUGUUUAACAACAAA